CCCCGACCUUAGACCCUAGAACCGUUCCCCAGUGAUGAUUCUUUUUUGCUGCACAUCGGACGCCAAGUUUUAAAAAAGAAACGAAAAUCCUUUGACGAAUAUCUACGGUUUGAAGGUCGCGACUUGGUAGCGUGUGAACUCCGUCCACUUAUUACUGAUCCCGUUGUCUGCAUGUCAAUCGAUAAUUAACCUUCUUCUUCUUCUUCUAGCUCUCUCACUGCCAUCCCUUGUAAUAAGUGAGUCUGACUUAUUUCAUUACGUCAAGUCAUCAAGCUUCACCGCUGUGUCUAUGCGCAGACAACAUUGGUUUUCAUUAACGGUAGUUAAUUUGAGUCUAUGUGCAUAACAUGCUUCGCUAGUUCGCCCACACGACGACAGCAGUUCUUCCGGGUCUCUUUUAGGAUGAGAGCGCAAUCAAACGGGACAAAUAGUCUCGGGUAAUCUAAAUAGACAACGAGCGGCAAGUAUAAACAAAACCCAAAAUAUAAUUUAAAGAGCACUCGGAAAGCCCCCCACAUGUAUUUUAUCCUGUUGGUCGGCAGGGUGAGAAAACUAUCGGGAUUGCGGGAGCGAUGAGAACUUCCCUGGAUGGACGGCAGCAGCAGACCGAUGGACCCAGGAGCCAGCCAGCGAGAGGAAAAAGCAACGGGACAGCAGAUGUUGUUGCUGUUUGGCCGCACGGCGUUUUUCAACGGUUAUUUAAUAUAUGUAUACAGCCGUGUAUACUCUACUAUCUAUCUAUCAGCAGCGCAACCGGUUCUUCUUCUUUCGCAUAACUGGAGUGCUGCCCGUGGACACGUAAGGUGGAAUUUGUAGCGGCAUUCAAUCACCUAGAGCUAUGGCUCGUAUAUGUGCAAACGUAAAUCAUAUCAUUUUGUAGAUGCAUGCUCUAAUUGGUCCGCCAGAUGGCCCAGGAAACUGCUGAGAACUCUUUGAAGACGGCUAGAUUUUGCAGAAGGAAAAGCCGGUGCAAGCAGGUCAAAACAAAGGAAUUAUAACCGGCUCAUCAGCCGUUAAACUGAUUAGGUAUAACCUUCGCCUACGCUCACCUAUAAUUUUUGUUUUUUUCAAAAAUAACGCAAAGGUUUUGUGUGUUUACAUCAUUUUGAAAUGAGAAUCACGUCAUCGCGUUGGGGUCGACUACUCAUAAAAAAAAAGAAGUGAUGUGCCCCGUCAUCAGAUCGACCUAGUGGCCCUUUCCACAGUGAAACCACCAGACCAGCAAAGGACGCGUACGAUAUUACGUGCCCGGACACGACCGAUGGCAUUCCAUUCGAUUGCACGACGCUCCUGACUGAGCCGCCUGGCACAUCCGUAAUGUGUGAACGGGUUGAAUCCGUUAUCUUCCGCAUUCAUCAGCGUAUGCAAUAUAGGAAGAGGGGGGGUAAGGACAAAAAAGAAAUACAAAAUUACGAUGGUAUGUAGUCGAAGGACGCCCAGCCUUAAAUGCCGCUAUAACUAAUGAAAUAAGACGUCACGGGAAACUGGAUUCGUCCGCAUAUUUGAUGAUGAUGAUGAUCCAAUUGAUGUUUUCUGUUUUUGUUUUAGUUUUAUUUGCCAGUUUGGUAUUGGAAAAAACAAAAACAGUUUCAGGUAUAACUAGUUUAUUUAUAGAUAGCCUGGCGGCUGGCGGUAUGCUAUGACCAACGCAUUAGGGCCGUAAAUUAAUUUCGGGAAAUGUAUAAUACAGCUUUCCGGUCGAACGAGAUUGAGGUGGGCAACUUGUUCUUGGACGUUUUUUUUAUUUUGUCGUAAAUUUCUGUCAGGGAUGACAAUGUCGCUAAAUGGUAAAUGGAACGUCAAAGGAAAAGGGGAAUCGGACUAGUGGAAAAUCUGGAUACAUAAUUGGUCAAUUCGAAACAGUGGUAAAAGAAAAAUAUUGAAGAACAAGACGAAGAAGUGUUGCAGCAAUAUUUUGAUUCGGGAUCUUGAUUUUCUAGAGCGGAAGAGAAAAGGGAAAGAAUGGGGUCUAGAAAGAAAAUGAGACAUCCGAUUACGUAUUAUUAUAUACAUAAAGUGGGACCGUGCUUGGCUUUGUGGGUUGGGUGGUGAGACAUUCUAAGAUGAAAAUGAGGAUAGUCAUCUUCUUCUUUUUAUUUUAUUUUUUCGUCUAUAUCCCGCCAAGUCUUUGCCAAAUUGUCGGUGGUGGGUUCGAACGUGACGAACGGCUAUGGGUGGAAUUGAGGUCGAAGUAAGGCGCGGUUCCGCUCCGUCCGCUCUCCGCGUGCCACACCGGAGAAAACCGACCAUCAUCACUUUUUCUCCCGCAAAAGUCCGCGUCCGCAUUCAUUUUUUUUCCCUCAAAAGAAGAUAGAUGAAAACACGGGACUGGCUCAUCUGGGUGUUUGUUUUGUAUAUGAUUGCGCCACUAUGGCGUAACCUUGCCAUCCGCUACUGACGGUACACAUGGCCAACUCGGAGAAAGUCGGAAGUCGGCCGCGAUCUUUUCUUUUCUUUUGGUUAGUCUUGCACGUCGAGCAGCAGACGCUCUUUUGGUCAAUCAGGUCAUUGCGGUACGUCAAGAUGGACUCUCCUCUAGCACUCCUUUACUUUCUUGAGGCAGGCAAAUCUUGCGUCAUGCGCUUGAAAAUGCGCACAAUCGAAUCACGAAAGAAGAAAUCACGGUGGACGUUUAUGAUAGUUCAUUUGAAACAUAGCCAUAUGGAAACCAAACAUUUUCUCGGUCGGAAUUUUGAACAUGUUUUACGUGAUUCGACCUUUUCGAAAAAUAAAUACCAAUCGGAAGUACCUUUGACCUAGACUUUGAAAAGAAAAAAGAAGGACGGCCGUGCCUAAGAGGUCGCUAACCCCUUUUUCCUAUUUGAUAUUUAAUAUUAGACUCUCGUCUUUGCCCUUCAUACUCGGUUAAAUUAAAAAGGAAAAAAGCAUUUCGCUGUUUUCGCUACUAGUUUGGGCGCUCGUCAUCAAUUCGGUGUAAAGAAACAAAAGAAUAACGACGUGGAAACAUGCUUUACAGUUAGGACCCAAGCAGCCAAACCCGAGUCCACAUAGCGAGAUGUUGCGUCGACUUUCACUAAAAACGGUCGCCUAUUCUUGUGCUACUCUAUUACGAUUCUUUUAAAAAAGAUAAAGUUUUUCCUCCCUGUAUUUUACC